UUUUUUUUUUUUUUUAGAUUUUAUUUAUUUACUCAUGAGAGACACAGAGAGAGAGAGAAAGAGAGAGGCAGAGACACAGGCAGAGGGAGAAGCAGGCUCCAUGAAGGGAGCCCAACAUGGGACUCGACCCCAGGUCUCCAGGAUCAUGCCCUGGGCCGAAGGCAGGUGCUAAACCGCUGAGCCACCCAGGUUGCCCUGGAGCCUAAUUCUUUGUCUUUAGGAGACCUCAUCUUUUGUAAGGCUUUCAACUGAUUAGAUGAGGCCCACCGACAUUCCAGAAGUUACAUGGCUAUGCUCAAAGACCAUUAAUUUGAAUCUUAAUCAUAUGUAAAAAAUAUCUUUAUGACAACAUCUGAACUAGUUUUUGACUAAACAGGUGGGCACCGUAGCCUAGUCAAGUGGACACAUAAAAUUAACCAUCAAAGCAAGGAGAAAAAGAAUUAAUCAAGAAGUAAGAUGUAUGAAGGUAGUACACAAACUAAUAAAAAAAAUCUAACUCAUUGGUGAAUACAAAUUGUCCUAGAGGAUUAAUAAACACCAUCUUUUGCAUUCUCUUAAGCUUUCAGAUGCCUCAGGGAUGAUCAAGCAAUUGCUUGGCAUAUCCUCAGGGAGAGUCUCAGAGGGUGAGCAAGAGUCCGUAAAUUAAUCUCACAUCACCAUAUCAUGAAGCAUCGUGGGGAAGCCAAGACAGAGGUUUCAUCACAGGUAAACAGAUAUUUCAUGUGGUCCUGUAUUAUACCCAUAUCCACAUACUUUCGCUGACAGUUGCAAGGUAACACUUUCAUUCCAUGUCAAGGCAUAGAAAACUAUUAGGAUUUCUGAUUCAUUUCUGCAUUCUCCUGGUGAUAAUGCAUGACACAGUAAGAGUGCUCUCCUUUCUCUUCACAUUACUUGUUCAAGUAAUGCUUAUUAGCAUGUUUGAAAUGUCAGGGCCAUAUUGCUUAUGUAAAUAUAUGUUUCAUGUAAAUACUUGAUCAUAUAAAUAAUACAGACCAAACGAAGCGACCAUAAAGCCUAACUAAAGAGUAAGGAAUAAAAAAAAACAAAAAGUAUGAAAGAAUUAUGAAACUGUUGCUAUUCAGGUGUGUGUCUAAUAUCUAAAAACCUCAUUUAGUGACUAGAUUCUUCUCAUUCCCUUCUCAAAAACAUUGUGAUGGUUAUUUAAAUCAACUUAUAAAGAUAAAUUUUUAAAAAAGAUUUUAUUUAUUUGACAG
rnacentral:lncRNA from 1 species